CGGCAAACUGGUCCACUGUGGGCUGUAGAGUUGUGGAGACGUCUAAUGAGAAAACUAUCUGUGCCUGUAGUCAUCUUACAAAUUUUGCACUGAUUAUGGAUGUUUACGAAACCAAUAAAAAUGCAAAUGUGGAAGACGACAAAGCUCUAUCCAUUAUUACUUACGUUGGUUGUGGCACGUCCACAUUCGGACUGGCCUUGACUUUAUUUGUGUACUCAGUUUACAGAAAACUGAGAAGCCAGGAGUCCUCGCUCAUCAUAUACAACCUGUGUUGGGCAAUGUUCCUAUUUAACUGUGUGCUGUU